AUACGGAGGGGGUUAGCGUUGUACGGAAUUACUGGGCGUAAAGCGUGCGUAGGCGGACUAUUAAGUCAGAGGUGAAAUCCCGGGGCUCAACCCCGGAACUGCCUUUGAUACUGGUAGUCUUGAGGUCGAGAGAGGUGAGUGGAAUUCCUAGUGUAGAGGUGAAAUUCGUAGAUAUUAGGAGGAACACCAGUGGCGAAGGCGGCUCACUGGCUCGAUUCUGACGCUGAGGUACGAAAGUGUGGGGAGCAAACAGGAUUAGAAACCCUAGUAGUCC
rnacentral:rRNA from 1 species